rnacentral:rRNA from 1 species
GACGAACGCUGGCGGCGUGCCUAAUACAUGCAAGUCGAGCGAACCUGAUAAAAGCUUGCUUUUUGAAGGUUAGCGGCGGACGGGUGAGUGACACGUGGGCAACCUGCCUGUAAGACUGGGAUAACUUCGGGAAACCGGAGCUAAUACCGGAUAAUAUAAAGAACCUCCUGGUUCUUUAUUGAAAGAUGGUUUCGGCUAUCACUUACAGAUGGGCCCGCGGCGCAUUAGCUAGUUGGUGAGGUGACGGCUCACCAAGGCGACGAUGCGUAGCCGACCUGAGAGGGUGAUCGGCCACACUGGGACGGAGGCACGGCCCAGACUGCUACGGGAGGCAGAAGUAGGGAAUCUUCCACAAUGGACGAAAGUCUGAUGGAGCAACGCCGCGUGAGCGAUGAAGGCCUUCGGGUCGUAAAGCUCUGCUGUUAGGGAAGAACAAGUACCGGAGUAACUGCCGGUACCUUGACGGUACCUAACCAGAAGGCCACGGCUAACUACGUGCCAGCCGCCGCGGUAA